UACGAGGGGGGCUAGCGUUGCUCGGAAUUACUGGGCGUAAAGCGCACGUAGGCGGAUCUUUAAGUCAGGGGUGAAAUCCUGGAGCUCAACUCCAGAACUGCCUUUGAUACUGAGGACCUUGAGUUCGGGAGAGGUGAGUGGAACUGCGAGUGUAGAGGUGAAAUUCGUAGAUAUUCGCAAGAACACCAGUGGCGAAGGCGGCUCACUGGCCCGAUACUGACGCUGAGGUGCGAAAGCGUGGGGAGCAAACAGG
rnacentral:rRNA from 1 species